rnacentral:rRNA from 1 species
AUUGCCCUAGUAACGGCGAGUGAAGCGGCAACAGCUCAAAUUUGAAAUCUGGCUCUUUUAGGGUCCGAGUUGUAAUUUGCAGAGGGCGCUUUGGCUUUGGCAGCGGUCCAAGUUCCUUGGAACAGGACGUCACAGAGGGUGAGAAUCCCGUACGUGGUCGCUAGCUAUUGCCGUGUAAAGCCCCUUCGACGAGUCGAGUUGUUUGGGAAUGCAGCUCUAAAUGGGAGGUAAAUUUCUUCUAAAGCUAAAUAUUGGCCAGAGACCGAUAGCGCACAAGUAGAGUGAUCGAAAGAUGAAAAGCACUUUGGAAAGAGAGUCAAACAGCACGUGAAAUUGUUGAAAGGGAAGCGCUUGCAGCCAGACUUGCUUGCAGUUGCUCAUCCGGGCUUUUGCCCGGUGCACUCUUCUGUAGGCAGGCCAGCAUCAGUUUGGGCGGUGGGAUAAAGGUCUCUGUCACGUACCUCUCUUCGGGGAGGCCUUAUAGGGGAGACGACAUACCACCAGCCUAGACUGAGGUCCGCGCAUCUGCUAGGAUGCUGGCGUAAUGGCUGUAAGCGGCCCGUCUUGAAACACGGACCAAGGAGUCUAACAUCUAUGCGAGUGUUUGGGUGUCAAGCCCGAGCGCGUAAUGAAAGUGAACGGAGGUGGGAACCCGCAAGGGUGCACCAUCGACCGAUCCUGAAGUUUUCGGAAGGAUUUGAGUAAGAGCAUGGCUGUUGGGACCCGAAAGAUGGUGAACUAUGCUUGAAUAGGGUGAAGCCAGAGGAAACUCUGGUGGAGGCUCGCAGCGGUUCUGACGUGCAAAUCGAUCGUCAAAUUUGGGCAUAGGGGCGAAAGA